AUUGAACGCUGGCGGCAUGCCUUGCACAUGCAAGUCGAACGGUAACGGGCCUUCGGGUGCCGACGAGUGGCGAACGGGUGAGUAAUACAUCGGAACGUGCCCGAUCGUGGGGGAUAACGAGGCGAAAGCUUUGCUAAUACCGCAUACGAUCUACGGAUGAAAGCCGGGGACCGCAAGGCCUUGCGCGGACGGAGCGGCCGAUGGCAGAUUAGGUAGUUGGUGGGAUAAAAGCUUACCAAGCCGACGAUCUGUAGCUGGUCUGAGAGGAUGAUCAGCCACACUGGGACUGAGACACGGCCCAGACUCCUACGGGAGGCAGCAGUGGGGAAUUUUGGACAAUGGGCGCAAGCCUGAUCCAGCCAUGCCGCGUGCAGGAUGAAGGCCUUCGGGUUGUAAACUGCUUUUGUACGGAACGAAAAGCCUUCUUUUAAUACAGGAGGGUCAUGACGGUACCGGAAGAAUAAGCACCGGCUAACUACGUG
rnacentral:rRNA from 1 species